GGGCCCGUAGCUCAGCUAGGAGAGAGCGCCGGCCUUCUAAGCCGGUGGUCAGGGGUUCAAAUCCCCUCGGGCCCGCCA
rnacentral:tRNA from 1 species